UACAGAGGUCUCAAGCGUUGUUCGGAUUCAUUGGGCGUAAAGAGCUCGUAGGCGGCUUGUCGCGUCGGCUGUGAAAUCCCGUGGCUCAACUGCGGGUCUGCAGCCGAUACGGGCAGGCUAGAGUUCGGUAGGGGAGACUGGAAUUCCUGGUGUAGCGGUGAAAUGCGCAGAUAUCAGGAGGAACACCGAUGGCGAAGGCAGGUCUCUGGGCCGAUACUGACGCUGAGGAGCGAAAGCGUGGGGAGCGAACAGG
rnacentral:rRNA from 1 species